AAUAGCGGCCAUAGCAGAGGGGAAACACCUGGACUCAUUCCGAACCCAGAAGUUAAGCCCUCUCACGUACCGGGUUGUACUGAGGUGCGAGAGCCCUCGGGAAGUUCGGUUCGCUGCUAUUA
rnacentral:rRNA from 1 species